CAGAGGAGCCUGCUGGGCUUCAGCCACGAGGUCGCAAAGAGUCAGACAUGACUUGGCGACUAACAUUUUCACUUUUUUAUGUUAAGGCCCUGAGACUGUUUUAAGAACAUCUUUGUAGAGGCAUCUAAAUUACAUUUCUGUUUAAGUCUUGUUUUAAACAAUAGUUCAUCUGAGGCAAGAGGAAUGUGUAAAGACUUUUGUGACUCUGAGAAGAUCUAUGAAAGAAAGUAAUUGAAGAAAUGCUUUACACCAAAAGUAAUUCGAGCUAUUGUUCUUAAAGCUUGUGUGUCAGAAAUAACUUCUGGAAAGAGCUGUGCUUCUCUGAGAUUUGCAAUCCACUACUGUGCAAAAAUUGCUAUCAAAAUGCACUGUUACCGUGUAAACAUAAUGCGCGUCUGUCCUCUUAAACAUUCGUCGACACAUAUGGAUAGAAAGAGAGAAUGAGCUUUACGGUUCUAUUUCAGCUGAUUCUUAGGUGAGACUAAGGUUUGAGGAAAUUGACUUUAAAAAAAAUAACAAAUAAG
ensembl:lncRNA